AGCAGCCGCGGUAAUUCCAGCUCCAAUAGCGUAUAUUAAAGUUGCUGCAGUUAAAAAGCUCGUAGUUGAAUUUCGGGAUCAAUAUGUUGGUCGUGCCUCGGUACGUACUAGCUUAUUGGUUUCUUCCUUCUGACGAACCAUAAUGUCAUUUAUUUGGUGUUAUGGGGAAUCAGGACUGUUACUUUGAAAAAUUAGAGUGUUUAAAGCAGGCUCACGCUUGAAUACAUUAGCAUGGAAUAAUGAAAUAGGACGUUUGAUUCUAUUUUGUUGGUUUCUAGGAUCGACGUAAUGAUUAAUAGGGAUAGUUGGGGGCAUUAGUAUUCAAUUGUCAGAGGUGAAAUUCUUGGAUUUAUUGAAGACUAACUACUGCGAAAGCAUUUGCCAAGGAUGUUUUCAUUAAUCAAGAACGAAAGUUAGGGGAUCGAAGACGAUCAGAUACCGUCGUAGUCUUAACCAUAAACUAUGCCGACUAGGGAUC
rnacentral:rRNA from 1 species